CAGAAGUUAUCCCAUACAAACAUGAGGGAAGGGGGAAGGAAUCAGGGUCAGACGUGUUCAUGUGUUGCAAUUCCAGUCACGUGUUUCACAUGCUUCAAACAAAAUUCAAGUUCAAGUUCCCUCCUAAUCUGAAAGUUCACCUCCGUCGUGCCGGAUGUUGCCUCUGGUGGCGGAGGAGCCUUAAACCACCAACAAACUCUAUCAAACUCUUCCUCUCAUUACCCUGAGUGUAUAUCCAACGUCCAAUUUCCCUAAUUCUUCACCAAUUACACGAAUAUAAACAAAAUGCAUAAGAACCCUAACCUACAAAAUGUAAAAUUAAAUCCCACACACCUGGAAUCGAAGUCCUAGGGGUUAGGGCUUUGAUUCCCCUAGCUCAGACCUACAUCCAGGUAACAAAAUUGAAGCAAACGACAAUGGAACUCGAAAACUCACCGGAGGAGAAGACGCAAAGGAACACGAAAUUCAGUAUUUGUUUUGUAGGAAAUGGAUGAAUGCAAGGAUGAUUGGUCUUGAAGAAACGAGGGACUUAGGGUUUAGGGAAUAUAGAAAUGGUGAGUUGACUUUGGUCAACUGGUUGACCAAAAGUCAACUUAUGCAAACAAGUGUAUUUUCUUUGUGAUUUUUCAAUGAAACAUGCAUGGACAAUGUAAAAGUAAUUCUUAUGAAUGAAAUGUAUCUUUUUAGUAAAAAUGUUCUAAUGAAAUAGUGAAAAAUAUUUAAGUUAAA